GGGGAAACUGAGGCAGGUAGGGGCAGAGCCUGAGUGAGGAAAACCCAGGUCACUCAGCGCCCAGUCCUUUCCCACUGCACCGCACUGGACCGCCGGCUGCUCUCUUAGGACCUGGCUGAUGAUGCAGAACGUGGAACCACUUCUGUCCUCGACUUUACCCCACUUCCCACUCUAGAUGGUAGAGAAGACCGUGGAUCACCUGGGGACUGAGGUGAAAGGCCUGCUGGACCUGCUGGAGGAGCUGGCCUGGAACCUGCCCCCGGGACCCUUCAGCCCCGCUCCCGACCUUCUCGGAGAAGAUGGCUUCUGAGCCCCGGAGCUGGAGCCCAGCAGCUGGAGGUGGUGCACCUGCCAGGCAGCGCCCACAGAACCAGCCCUGUCCUCUCACCUUCCUUCCUUAGCUUCAUGUGAAAUAAAAGCUAUUUUUCUGGUC
rnacentral:sRNA from 1 species